GAACAGGGCAGCUGCUUUGUAUUGCUCUGAUAGGCUACUCUGCGGCUAGCAGUAGCCAAUCAACAAACGUAUUGUGAGUUGUAAGUGGUUCUCUUUUCUAGAAAUGCCUUGCAAUCUUUGGGUGCACUCACCGCAUGUUUUAAUUUAAUCUCCGGCUCCGUUCCCCUCCUGCCCACUCCCGUUGAUUUCUGCCCGUCCCGUCCCUAUCACGUUACCAACAGUGAAAUUGAUUCCCGUACCGCAGGACUCCCGCGGGAAUACCGUGACCCGCGGGAGUCCCGAAAAAUUGUCACCCUCUAUGCUGUUUCAUGUGCGGCCAGGCCUCAUUUGUGG